rnacentral:rRNA from 1 species
CCUACGGGCGGCUGCAGUGGGGAAUAUUGCACAAUGGGCGCAAGCCUGAUGCAGCCAUGCCGCGUGUGUGAAGAAGGCCUUCGGGUUGUAAAGCACUUUCAGCGGGGAGGAAGGCGUUAAGGUUAAUAACCUUGGCGAUUGACGUUACCCGCAGAAGAAGCACCGGCUAACUCCGUGCCAGCAGCCGCGGUAAUACGGAGGGUGCAAGCGUUAAUCGGAAUUACUGGGCGGAAAGCGCACGCAGGCGGUCUGUCAAGUCGGAUGUGAAAUCCCCGGGCUCAACCUGGGAACUGCACUCGAAACUGGCAGGCUAGAGUCUUGUAGAGGGGGGUAGAAUUCCAGGUGUAGCGGUGAAAUGCGUAGAGAUCUGGAGGAAUACCGGUGGCGAAGGCGGCCCCCUGGACAAAGACUGACGCUCAGGUGCGAAAGCGUGGGGAGCAAACAGGAUUAGAUACCCGAGUAGUC